UACGUAGGGUGCAAGCGUUAAUCGGAAUUACUGGACGUAAAGCGUGCGCAGGCGGCUAUGCAAGACAGAUGUGAAAUCCCGGGCUCAACCUGGGAACUGCAUUGUGACUGCAUGGCUAGAGUACGGUAGAGGGGGAUGGAAUUCCGCGUGUAGCAGUGAAAUGCGUAGAUAUGCGGAGGAACACCGAUGGCGAAGGCAAUCCCCUGGACCUGUACUGACGCUCAUGCACGAAAGC
rnacentral:rRNA from 1 species